AGAGGUAACACAGGAAGUCAGAGGGAUGUGCAUUGUUGCAUGUGGGCUUACGUUGCUGUUAUUAAAAAGCACACGGCUGAAAUGAAAUGAUCUCUAUUAUUCCACAUUCUCAGAAACGGUAACGCGGAGUAUCGAGAAGUAAGGGCGUUGAUCUGCAGACCAGCUCGGCUUUGUUGUGUGAAUAAUAAAGUCUAUCUCCUAAAGAGCGGCGCCUGGACUCUGAUUUCAUUAUAAGAGGUGUAAAGAAUCAUGACACUGGAAAAAGAGAUUCGUGACUCCAGAAUCUCCACUAACCUGUUAACCGAGCAGCUCAAGUGGAGUUCGUCCGUCGAUUUUGACGAAGACCGAAGUUUACAUUUCUGCCUCCAUUUUGGAGAACACAAACUGGGACUCGACUGGCACGUGAAUUGGAUUAAAGUGAGGAAGCCUUGCUUAGCAUCGGCCUCACUCUCACUUCCUGGUGCCCACAAUGAUCCAGAGUCAAGACGACCGAAGAUGUCUGUUUUUGGAUAUUGUAUAGAUGUUGUGAGGGAAGUCACUAAUUUUUACUUUGUUAUAGUUUUGUUCUUGUUCUGUUUCAUUCUUAUCAGAUGAUAAUGUCUAAGAAGGCCAUGUCAUGUCACUGACAUCUGUACAGAAUGUUUAUCUGCUUACAGAGACACAAACAUGUUCUUCUGUUCAAGGUUCGUGUAAACAUCUUCCAAGAUCCUUAAACAAAGCCUGUUCAAAAAUGCUUCAUACUGGUACACGGAAGUGUGUCAUGCUCUGCUUUUUAUAUAUAUAGUAGUGGUUCAGCACAAGCGCUUCAGGGCGCUCUCAUUAUUCUAUUCUGUAUUAACCAUCAUUCUGUAAUAAACCUUUUUACCUUCAGAGGACAAGUCUGCGAGUGUUGUCUAAUUUCCACGGCAACGUCUACCCGUUUUUUAUCUUGUCCCACAUUUCUAGCCACUUUAUAUUCAUAAGUUCUCUAAUUUUUCCUUUUACCUCUUCUUUACUGAGUGGUAUAUGAACUUCAUAUACCACUUCAAAUAUCCAUAUGAUCCAUUACCUGUUUAGCCAGUCUGUCCACUGUUUCAUUUCCUUGUACUUCCCCAUGUUCUGGUACCCAACGAAAUCUCAGGACCAUCCCCAGUUUCUGAAUUCUAAGUAGAUGCGUAAGUAUCUCACAUACUAAAUCUUGUCUUGAUUCAGAAUGCCCAUUUAAUAAGCUAUUUACACCUGAUUGAUAUUCUGAACAAAUAACAGCCCCCACUGGCUGAACUUCCUCCACUCAUUGCAUAGCCAAUAAAAUCAUUAUUAACUAAUAGUAAGUAACUAAAUUAGUCUUCUAAAAAGAAAAUGAUCCAGGACAAGGAAAGGUAUAUACAUUAUUAAAUUAUCUAAGAUUUGUAUAAGGGUGAUUUAAACUUGACAUAAAAUUUUUAACCUCCUUUCAGUGCGCCACAAUCCUGUCCAGUAGGUGGCGGUAAUUCAUCAAAACUGGUUUACCAACCGCCGAUAAACCUGUGAAGAAGAUGACGAAGGAGAAGAAAAGAAGAAAACAACAACACGCUUGGACGCAGAUCUUCAUGUGAUCUUCACAUCUUCAUGACCUUUACCAAACACUUGCCUGUCAAAAUAAGGUUUGAUGGCUUAUACCUAGCAUAA